rnacentral:rRNA from 1 species
UACGGAGGGUGCAAGCGUUAAUCGGAAUUACUGGGCGUAAAGCGUGCGCAGGCGGUUUGUUAAGUCUGUUGUGAAAUCCCCGAGCUCAACUUGGGAAUUGCAAUGGAUACUGGCAGGCUGGAGUAUGGUAGAGGAAGGUGGAAUUCCCGGUGUAGCAGUGAAAUGCGUAGAGAUCGGGAGGAACACCAGUGGCGAAGUCGGCCUUCUGGACCAAUACUGACGCUCAUGCACGAAAGCGUGGGGAGCAAACAGG